rnacentral:rRNA from 1 species
UACGUAGGGUGCGAGCGUUGUCCGGAAUUAUUGGGCGUAAAGAGCUCGUAGGCGGUGUGUCACGUCGGCCGUGAAAACCUGCAGCUUAACUGUGGGCGUGCGGUCGAUACGGGCAUCACUGGAGUUCGGCAGGGGAGACUGGAAUUCCUGGUGUAGCGGUGAAAUGCGCAGAUAUCAGGAAGAACACCCGUGGCGAAAGCGGCUCUCUGGGACGGUACUGACGCUGAGACGCGAAAGCGUGGGGAGCGAACAGG